rnacentral:rRNA from 1 species
UGAGGAAUAUUGGUCAAUGGACGAGAGUCUGAACCAGCCAAGUAGCGUGCAGGAUGACGGCACUAUGGGUUGUUAACUGCUUUUGUUUGGGAAUAAUCGACAUUACGUGUAAUGUUUUGCAUGUACCAUUCGAAUAAGGACCGGCUAAUUCCGUGCCAGCAGCCGCGGUAAUACGGAAGGUCCAGGCGUUAUCCGGAUUUAUUGGGUUUAAAGGGAGUGUAGGCGGUUGGUUAAGCGUGUUGUGAAAUGUAGAUGCUCAACAUCUGACUUGCCGCGCGAACUGGCUGACUUGAGUACACACAACGUAGGCGGAAUUCAUGGUGUAGCGGUGAAAUGCUUAGAUAUCAUGAAGAACUCCGAUUGCGAAGGCAGCUUACGGGAGUGUUACUGACGCUUAAGCUCGAAGGUGCGGGUAUCGAACAGG